AGCGGAGGAAAAGAAACUAACAAGGAUUCCCCUAGUAACGGCGAGUGAAGCGGGAAGAGCUCAAAUUUGUAAUCUGGCACCUUCGGUGUCCGAGUUGUAAUCUCGAGAAGUGUUUUCCGCGCCGGACCGCAUACAAGUCUGUUGGAAUGCAGCGUCAUAGUGGUGAGAACCCCGUAACUGAUGCGGAUGCCCGGUGCUUUGUGAUACACUUUCGAAGAGUCGAGUUGUUUGGGAAUGCAGCUCAAAUUGGGUGGUAAAUUCCAUCUAAAGCUAAAUAUUGGCGAGAGACCGAUAGCGAACAAGUACCGUGAGGGAAAGAUGAAAAGCACUUUGGAAAGAGAGUUAACAGUACGUGAAAUUGUUGGAAGGGAAACGCUUGAAGUCAGACUUGCUAUUUGGAAUUCAGCCUCAAGGUGUACUUUUCAAUUCGCAGGCCAGCAUCAGUUUUCGGGGGUGGAAAAGGGUAGAGAGAAGGUAGCAAUUUCGGUUGUGUUAUAGC
rnacentral:rRNA from 1 species